rnacentral:rRNA from 1 species
CACGUAGGGGCCAAGCGUUGUCCGGAUUUAUUGGGCGUAAAGAGCUCGUAGGCGGUUCGACAAGUCGGGUGUGAAAACUCCGGGCUCAACCCGGAGACGCCACCCGAUACUGUCGUGACUGGAGUCCGGUAGGGGAGUGGGGAAUUCCUGGUGUAGCGGUGAAAUUCGUAGAUAUUCGCAAGAACACCAGUGGCGAAGGCGGCUCACUGGCCCGGUACUGACGCUGAGGCACGAAAGCGUGGGGAGCAAACAGG